rnacentral:lncRNA from 1 species
UUUAAUUUAGGGAAACCCUUUCUUCUUGUAGAUAAACUACGAAGAAGUAUGCCUAAUCUGGCCCGGAUGCCAAGCACCACUGCAGUCAGUAGCAACCUCAGCUCUCCCGUGACAGUGAGGAGCAGUCAGAGUUUUGACUCAAGCUUGCACGGAGCUGGAAGUGGGGUUUCUCGGGUACCGUCCUGCAUCCCGUCACCAGGACAGAUUCAGCACAGAGUCCACAGCGUGGGGCAUUUCCCAGUGCCCAUCCGGCAGCCCCUGAAGGCCACAGCCUACGUCAGUCCGACUGUUCAGGGCAGCAGCAGCAGCAUGCCUUUGUCCAAUGGCACACAGUUAUAUUCCAACACCGGCAUCCCUACCCCAAACAAAGCUGCGGCUUCCGGGAUUAUGGGCCGCAGCGCCCUUCCGCGACCUUCCUUGGCAAUAAAUGGGAGUAACCUGCCUCGAAGCAAGAUUGCACAGCCUGUCAGGAGUUUCCUGCAGCCCCCCAAGCCUCUAUCUUCACUCAGCACACUGAGGGAUGGAAAUUGGAGAGACGGUUGCUACUGAUGCAGUUUUAUGGACCCUUGUAGAAUGGGAAGAAUCGAAAAUGAGGGUGUGUUACCUAGCUGGCUGGGUAACCGUGGAUGCUGGGAUGCUCUCCCCUUCACCCUAACACGUGCGCACGGCAUCGUUUUCAGUGGACCAAUCACCAGAGACUAACGAUCGCACUUACUCUCUGCCUGAAAUACUGUGGCAACCCCAAACCCAUGGCCACGGUAUUGUUACCUUAGAUCUAGGAAGUUUUUGUAGAACUGCUCUGUACCUGAAUACUUUUUGAGAGAGAUUGAGGCGUAUCAAUAAUGCUUUGCCAUAUGGGGUUUUUAAAGUACCUUUGUUCAUUUUACCUACGUGUUCUAAACACCUUUCCAUUACGUGUUCUGCAUUUUAAUACACUGCAUAUUUACAACUAGGUUCUAUAACAUGGUUUGGAUUUUAAUUUUUUUUUAUAGUUUACAGGAAUUUUAUUUUUUUGUGCCUAUUUCUUUUUAUGCCUAUGUGAACCACUAUGGAACAACUUAAAUUUUGUGCCAUAAAAGUAUUUUUGUGGUAAGGUACUAUUUUUUUAGCUCUAGGGAUUAUAUCAGCAAAAAGAAAAAAAAAAAACCACACCAUACGAUUUGAGACAUAACUUUACGUUGAACGAGCACAAUUUAGUCUAAAGCGUCGCAAAGGAGACAGCCAGACGGCAGAGUUAAGCGGUCUUGUCUUUUUUCAUUGUUAAUUUAUUGUCUUACAUGAGUUUCAUAUUUAUGAUGGCAUCACAGACCCGUUGCACUUAAGACCCGCAAUGUUUGCUACUCAACCACAAUUGAUUUUCAAUACUUUAUUACAAAGGACGAAACUGUAAUGUUUUAUUAACAAUGCUUCUGGAAACGAACGCAUUUUAAAGCAAAUAAAUCUUUUUGAUAGACCUUUUACAAAAACCCAUUUGCACUAAUGGAUGCUUUCUUAUGGUCUGUGACUUUACUGUUUGUAACUGUGUGCACUGCUGUUUUCGAAUGUUCGGAAAUAAAGACUCUAUUUCGGCAA